rnacentral:rRNA from 1 species
ACAGGUGCUGCAUGGCUGUCGUCAGCUCGUGUCGUGAGAUGUUGGGUUAAGUCCCGCAACGAGCGCAACCCUUGCCUUUAGUUGCCAGCAGUUCGGCUGGGCACUCUAAAGGGACUGCCGGUGUCAAACCGGAGGAAGGUGGGGAUGACGUCAAGUCCUCAUGGCCUUUAUGGCCAGGGCUACACGCGUACUACAAUGGCCGGUACAAAGGGCAGCGACAUUGCGAGAUGGAGCGAAUCCCGAAAAGCCGGUCUCAGUCCGGAUUGGAGUCUGCAACUCGACUCCAUGAAGUUGGAAUCGCUAGUAAUCGUGGAUCAGCAUGCCCACGUCCGAUACGUUCCGGGCCUU